CAAUUUGCAAAGCAGCAGCUGCCAAAUGCUAAGUGGGGGUACUGAGGAUUCAGUCGUUCACUCACCCAACGGAUGCCGUUUGUCUUGAGGCGCUGACUGCGAGAAGAGAUAGUAGUAGCUCCUUGUCUGGAAUGGAAUUUCCGUCUCGAUCACCGGGUAUGCGGCUUUGGCUUGUCUUGUCAAUUUGUAGCCGAGGAGGGACCGGGAGAUCGCUUGUUGCUGAUUCUGAGAUAAGUUCACCGCUUUAGUUUUUUCCCUCGUGCCAUUAUUUAUAAUGGUCACCUCUUAGCGUGUAGAGAGCAUGGUGAAGAACAAGACGGGGAGAAGACCACUUUGGAUCCAUUUGACAAAGGCUCGCAGUUAUUAAAUGACUAAGAGGAAGAAGCAAAGCUGGGAACAGCUUGACCCUUCGAAAACCACCCACUUUUAAAGGUAAAAUGAAAGAGAACAGGAAAUUGGAGGUGGGAGCGUAUCGUAUCCAGAGAAAAAAGAGGCUUGCGCAUCGACACGACGGCUGGGGACGACAAUAUUAUUAAACAGGACGAAAGAAACAGGGCCAGUAGCAGUGGCACAGGGCAGCAGUGUUGUUGGGCCUCCUCCUCCUCUCUGCAAAGCGAGAGGGGCCCCUUCUUCUCGGCUGAACCGCAGGACGAGAGAGGGAGAAAGAAAAACAAAGGAAAGCAAGGGUCGGGAGGGAAGCAAACAAAAUCGAAGCCGGAAUAAAGGGAAAUAUGCUACGGUGAAUAGUUUUUGGAGACACAGAGGCGGAGAUAAGAAAGAGAAGAGAAAAAUGGAAGGAAAGUAAGGCACAGGGGCCAUGCAGGACUGCCGACUGAGAGGAAAAGCCUUGGGAAGGGAGAGCGCGAGAGAAGUAAGAAGGGAUGUGGGGCGCCUCUCCUUGUGCCAGGACGCGCAUCGUAUCCUAUCAAUCACUUUGAAUCUGGAAAGGCAGGAAAUCUCCUCCUUCCAAGUUUCUACACAACACCACCGCCAUCACUUGGGCAAUCUUCGAUCGCCCUCUGUCGGCACAAAAGUUCUAAAGCUCCAUUUCCUAUGGUCUACUUACGUCAAGAACAAGAAUCAAUCACUAGAUAGUCCCAUGAUAUCUUGUUUAUAUGAUCAUUCAAAUACUUGUUUUAUAGGCAA